rnacentral:tmRNA from 1 species
GGGGGCGUAAAGGUUUCGACGGGGUCGUCGACGUAUGAAUAGCGAGUAGAGGAUUCUCGUUGGCCUCUUUAAAAAACGGGAAAUUUAAAUUUAAACGCUAACAGAAAUUUAGCACUUCAGGCUGCCUAAGCAGCCUCGUCGCCCCGUAGGUUAUCCGAGCCUGCGGCAAGCGGCGUCAGCAACUCGGACCCGACACCGCGCAGGUCAGCGGUGUGAACGAAACAGUCUAAGCUUUGCGACUGUUUUGUAAAAUGAAGCUACCGUGCUGACGCACCUGUCAAAGGGUGUUUCAUUGCGGGAAUUUCAUUAAAUACUUUGACUACACUCGUAGAAGUUUGUGCGAAGAUGGUUUCGGACGCGGGUUCGAUUCCCGCCGCCUCCACCA